rnacentral:rRNA from 1 species
ACUCGAGUGGCGAACGGGUGAGUAACACGUGGGUGAUCUGCCCUGCACUUCGGGAUAAGCUUGGGAAACUGGGUCUAAUACCGGAUAGGAGCCAUCUUUAGUGUGGUGGUUGGAAAGUUUUUCGGUGUAGGAUGAGCUCGCGGCCUAUCAGCUUGUUGGUGGGGUAAUGGCCUACCAAGGCGGCGACGGGUAGCCGGCCUGAGAGGGUGUACGGCCACAUUGGGACUGAGACACGGCCCAG